rnacentral:lncRNA from 1 species
UGACCAUUCAUCAUGAUAUAUUGAGAGGCCAUCCAUCGAAGUCAUUUGGCUUCUGAGGGAUCUGUAGGGAGAGUCCCAUCAGUCAGAUACUGGACGAUCAGAUCCAUCCAACUCGGUUCAAUAGUAAGUUGUAACACUUUAUUGACUUUGUUGAUACUUGGCUGUUUGAGACAUUCAACGAAUGUCCAAUCCAGCGAGUUGAAGGAAGUAGUUGC